rnacentral:rRNA from 1 species
GCGCAUACGAGACCUUGAGCUCCAAUGCGAAAACCCUAUGAAGUAAACCA